rnacentral:rRNA from 1 species
GACGAACGCUGGCGGUGUGCUUAACACAUGCAAGUCGAACGGUAAGGCCCUUUCGGGGGUCCCCGAGUGGCGAACGGGUGAGUAACACGUGAGUAACCUGCCCUCAUCUCUGGGAUAACAGUCGGAAACGGUUGCUAAUACUGGAUAUGAGCUUGCAAGGCAUCUUGUGGGUUGGAAAGAUUUUUUUUGGUUGGGGAUGGACUCGCGGCCUAUCAGCUUGUUGGUGAGGUAGUGGCUCACCAAGGCUUCGACGGGUAGCCGGCCUGAGAGGGCGACCGGCCACAUUGGGACUGAGAUACGGCCCAAACUCCUACGGGAGGCAGCAGUGGGGAAUAUUGCACAAUGGACGGAAGUCUGAUGCAGCAACGCCGCGUGCGGGAUGACGGCCUUCGGGUUGUAAACCGCUUUCAAUUGUGACGAAGCUUUUUUGUGACGGUAGCAGUAGAAGAAGCACCGGCUAACUACGUG